AUCCUUACUCCUUCAUCAGGUGAAUGAAUGCGUGGUAUGAGGCAGAGAACAUAUACACUGUAUAUGUACAUGUAAGAACAACAAAAGUAAUAAGUCAACAAAGAUGGAGGCUAAACAAUGGAAGCCAACACUUAACUGGCGUUGAUGUGUGAUUAGCAAAG